rnacentral:rRNA from 1 species
UUGGAGGGCAAGUCUGGUGCCAGCAGCCGCGGUAAUUCCAGCUCCAAUAGCGUAUAUUAAAGUUGCUGCAGUUAAAAAGCUCGUAGUUGAAUUUCGGAACCAAUAUGUUGGUUGUGCCUCGGUACGUACUGGCAUUGUUGGUUUCUCCCUUCUGACGAACUAUGAUGUCAUUAAUUUGGUGUCAUGGGGAAUCAGGACUGUUACUUUGAAAAAAUUAGAGUGUUUAAAGCAGGCUCACGCUUGAAUACAUUAGCAUGGAAUAAUGAAAUAGGACGUUUGAUUCUAUUUUGUUGGUUUCUAGGAUUGACGUAAUGAUUAAUAGGGAUAGUUGGGGGCAUUAGUAUUCAAUUGUCAGAGGUGAAAUUCUUGGAUUUAUUGAAGACUAACUACUGCGAAAGCAUUUGCCAAGGAUGUUUUCAUUAAUCAGGAACGAAAGUUAGGGGAUCGAAGACGAUCAGAUACCGUCGUAGUCUUAACCAUAAACUAUGCCGACUAGGGAUCGGACGAUGUUAUUUUUUGACUCGUUCGGCACCUUACGGGAAAC